UACAGAGGGUGCAAACGUUGUUCGGAAUUACUGGGCGUAAAGCGCGUGCAGGCGGCCUUGCAAGUCGGACGUGAAAUCCCACGGCUCAACCAUGGAAGUGCACUCGAAACUGCAGGGCUAGAGUCCUGGAGAGGAAGGUGGAAUGCUUGGUGUAGAGGUGAAAUUCGUAGAUAUCAAGCGGAACACCGGUGGCGAAGGCGGCCUUCUGGACAGUGACUGACGCUGAGACGCGAAAGCGUGGGGAGCGAACAGG
rnacentral:rRNA from 1 species